rnacentral:tRNA from 1 species
AUUUAUAUAGUUUAAAAAAAAUAUUUUAUUUUCAUUAAAAAAAUGACUCUUACUUAAAAGUCUAUAAAUA